AUGAUUAGCAGCACCGUCCUUCUCACCAAGUUUUUCUACUAUCCUCUUGGCAAUACUCCACCCAAUUCUUUAACUCAAGAUCUACCUCCAGAGCAAGAUGCUGACAUCCUUUUAUUAGGAUGCGGUGAUGCUAGAAACGUUCUAUUCACCUGUUUCGUUGACAAUGCCCGCCGGAUAGAUGUCACCUGCUGCGACAUCGAACCAGGCAUCCAAGCUCGGAAUGUUCUACUGUAUUCUUUGCUCAUCGACGACGAAGCUAAUCUGAAUAUCGACCGAAUUUGGAAUAUCUACUACCACUGGUCUUUAGAUGAAGAUUCCGUAGAACUCCUCGAAACUCAGAUCGAGAAACUGCUACAGUAUUCAAAAUCCAUAGAUGAUUGGCAUAACUCAGUCUAUGGAUCAACUAUCAGAUUUUGCGACGAAAUGUCUCUUUCUCGCGUCAAGAGCUACUGGUCCAAUUUCUCCUCUCGAGGUCUUACCCCCGCCAGCAAUGAAAAGAGGCUGCGCCAGUUGAAAGAAGCAUACGCUAGAGCCAAAUCCUUAAGGACACAAUAUUUAGAAGGAGGUACGAAUCUAACUGGUUUUCGUGCUACACUUCCUGCCACGUAUGAACAAGCCCCUCAAGACUUUUCGGAAAUCGCCGAUCAUUGGUGGACGCACGGCACUUUACCGCUACGUUCUGGACCAGCCUCGAAAAGCAUCCACUUAAACCCGUCAUUUUUCUACUCACCAAACUUGGCGCUAAUGCUACACCUCGGGGUCUCGCCUCUUUUAGGCUUCCCUCUGAGUAUUGCGAAUACUCCGAUCGAGAAAACGUGUCCUCUCUCAAUCGAAAAAAAUGGUCUGUCGUCAAAAGACCGUCUCGUUGCAAGUGCCAAGUGUCUUUUCUCAAACUGGGCCUCAGCAUUCAGAAGAGUGGCAGGAAAAACUAUAUUAAUUCGAAUCUUCUGUGGCGAUGCUGUUCAUUUCUGUUUCACUUUGGCCAGCGAAUGUGAUAAAAAUUCGCCGACCAAAUUUGACUGUAUCGAUACAUCAAAUCUAGGCGAUCCUCUGGGCCCAUUGAAUUUGCUAACUCUCGGUUCAGUUUUGCUGAAGAAACGUCCAUCCAGUAGUCUUUACACAGAGAUGCUGGUGCAGCAUUAUUCGAACGUCAAAGAUCGCUUCACGGAAUCGAUGGGUUGUGAUGCACGCACCGUAGCAUUACUACUUGGACUUGUAUGUCCUGAUCUGUUCACAAAUGCAACAAAUUGUGUCGAGGAGGACUCACUGAAUGUAACAAGUCUUCAAAUGAAGACCGGUAGAGGAGUAUCUCAAGAAAGAUCUCGCUUUCGCUGGAAGCGAAUUAAUAGGGACUCAAACGAGGCUGCCUACAUGUACGCCGAAGCUGAAACGCUCGCCAAAUUCUUUAUUGAUAUUUAUUAUGAAAUGUUCAAGUACGAAAGGCCCAUGGAGGCGUUUUCUAAGGUCGGGAGAGUUUUUAAAUUCGAGAAUCCUCGCUAUAAUCGAAGUAGUUUUGCAUUUCUGUUAAGCAUCGUGAAAUCCAACGUUUCUACUGAUUGGGAUAAGUGCGUAAAACUGAUUUGUGAUGAAGUUUGCAGGAGUAGAGUUGACCCCUUUGGAUCAUUUAAUGCAUCAGAUGAACUACUCCUGCACAUGCGAUCUUUUGGAGUCUACCGCAGCGGAGCACUAAAGCUUGAACCCAAAGAUUUAAGCAAUGAUCUCAUUGCUCGCGCCCUUAACCUAAAUGAAAAGUCGCCAGAUACCCUCUGCGUUACUCUCCGAGUACCAAGAGAAAGCCUCAAAGUCAUCAUGAGCCAGAGAUGCUGUCCAGUCAUUGUUUGUAGUAUCACCGGUAAAGAUCCGAGAGGAUCACAAUGGGAAAGUUACUUCUCUUCGAUUCAUGUAGCGUUUGGUGAAUGGUCCGAGAGAAGCGACAAGAAUAGUUCUAAUCCUUGCUUUGUUGAAGAUAGUCGUCAGCAAUCGGGAACGUCGGACAUGUUUGCAUCAUUUUUUGUACCAACAAAGUUGCUCCUCAAAUCAAAACAUUCCGUCCCCGUGGUACGAUGUCAGUUACUAAAAGCAUAUGCGAACGUUAACUUUAUGGAUGAACUGGGAUUAGAUCUUUGCCUGGUUCGCAGAGAAAUCACAAGCAAUGAUGUGUCCAUUACUCAGUUUAUUCCAGGUAUGUCUGCGCUCCCCUCAUACCUGGCUUUGAGUUUAUCACGUACAACAUCAUCUGAUUUGGUGACGCUCCGUUUUUCUGGCGAUAGCUCAAAAGUAAAAACGUUGGUCAAACGAAUGGACCUACAAAAAGACGCAGCCAAGGUUUUGGCCGUGAAAUCUUCUGCCGUCAAAAUUGAAUUCAAGUCACCACUACUGGCAAUCGUUACUGUAGCAAACUCUUUUAAGUUUGAGUUUAGAUUUCCCUGUCCCGUGUCCGUCUCUAGCGACAAUUACAAGGUUAGAUUUGGCCGUACAUCGUCUUUUAUUGAGGUUGAGAGUCCUCUCUUAGAACCUUUGGAGGAAGACGUCGCGUCUUUUAUGUUUCCAACCUUUCUAACAAACACCACAUCGGACGUAACCUUACCAAUAUCAUGGAUAGCUACUUAUAUUGAUAUGGAUGCCAUGCCACAAAUAGAUAUAACGAACCCUGAAAAAUUGGAGUGGUUAAAACAUCAUUUAUUGUUCAUGCUUUUCAGGCGAGAGCGAUCCUAUCAUAAGUCAGGAGCAAGCGACACGCGGACUGAGUUUAAGCGUAGCCUAUUCUCUAUUCUUUCCGAAUUUACAGGCUUGCAAGGUAAGAAAGUAAACAUUUUUGGACUGAUGGAGAAGGAUUCUCCUGUGGAAACUAUAAUCAUCCCAUCUUGCCUUCGCCUGGACUUAGUAAACCACUCAGUUGUAUUAGAUUGCGCCGUACUCCCUCGAAAUCACACAAUGUAUAACGAUAAUCUUUUAGGAAUGUUCUUGAUGAAGAUUAUUCCUACUACGUUCGCGAUAGAUGUCGGCGAAGCCGGGAACCGUGCUUGGAAAGCCCUUUUACCUGCUUUCACUGAGAGGUGCCGCACGAACACCUCAUGGACGCACGGACCUAAUUGUGAGUACGUAAAGAAAGGUGAGAUUCCUUUGGCUGCUGCGCUGAUUCAAAGCAACGUAUCACCUAUCUGCACUUGUGGUGUCGGAAAAUUUCCGGCCGAAGGUUUUCUCGAUAAGUUGAAGAAAAAAUACCCCGAGUUGAAUUAUGUGCUUAAGCGAUAUGCCACACGCGCCGCCAUCGCGCCAGUCUUCUCGGUUCCAUAUGUGGAGGAUUUUAUCGCGGACUUCGACAGCAUCAUCAAAAGUAUGGGCACGAUUGACAAAUGCCAAUCGUGUGGAUGUAGUGAAAGGAAAAAUGACGAAGAAAAGCAGAACAGCCUGUUAAUUUGUUCCAGGUGCAAGGCUGUCAAGUACUGUUCCACAGAUUGCCAAAAAGCAGACUGGAAACGGCACAAAUUGUCCUGCGGCAAGUAAUGUCGCAUGCUGGAAAAUCAGGAAGAAUCUCGAAUCAUCAAAUUUGAAGAUCACGUGCCAUUGCAUCACACGUUGCAUUUCGGUACGUCAAGUUAAUCGAAGAUUAUUUUUCUGUAAUUCAGUAAGUUCCUCGUUUUUGAUUUAGGAUAAUGCGAUUGAAUUUAUCGGUGAGCAGAGCCUUGGAAGCUGAUUUUUUUAGUAUCUCGACGAUUCAAGCGCAUCCAGUAAAAAGAAACACAUCCUUACACGAAUCCUUAUGCUUGUGGCGCCUUUUUUUGUUGAAUGCAGUCCACUCAUCCAAAUAUGUAUGGAUUUUUGCUCAAAUUUUCCUAUAUAUUCUCUCAUUUUCUUCUAAUGACCCAUUUAAACUUUUUGUUUACAUUUUUUCCAUUUUAUCAUUUCUCUCUCUUUGAUUUUUCUUUCAAUUUUAAUUGGACUCCUCCAUUUUUCAUUUCUUAAUUUUCGUUUUUUUUACUUGAAUAGUAUGCCCGUGUGCCUGAAGCAUUUUAUCAUUCUCAAAAUUUGUGUAAUCCACAGUAUUUUCUAUACUUAAGUGCGUAAUAUCUUGCCCACUAAUUUUAUAACUUUUACUUGAAUUUAAAUUUUAAUUACUCGUCUAUUAUUUUCAUUUUUUAUUUGCCUUUUUCACAUGAGCGAACAGUAUGUUCAUGCGUCUGAAAUAUUUUAUAAUUCUCAAAGUUUGUAUAAUUCUCAGUAUUUUUUAACUCAUAUCUACCUCUUUGCUCGUACUUAAUUACAACACCUACCUUGGUAGAUAUUUUAGUAAGAUGUUAACUGACGCUUUAUUAUUACGAUAUACUUUUUCGUUUCCAAAUUGAAAAACUAUUUUAAUGCCUGUCUGUAAGGCCCCGUUUGCCAUUUUCUAUAUUCUCAAUUCAUUGUUUGCUUUGAAGAUUCUUAGAAGUUGGCAACACUGUUUUCCUCCACUAAAAUGUAUGUUAAACAAUCGAUUCUUGGCGAGGCAGCUUGUCUCACCUAAAAUCGAUAUUUUUCAUGGGUUUAAAUGAGGGAAAAACAAUGUUGCCAGCUUGAAAAAUCUCCACUGAGCGUUUUUUUCUUCCAAUUUCCAUACUCUGUAAUUGCUUACGAAUUUUGUUAAAUAUUGCCGAAGCCAUGAACAACAGUUGAUCCUCUAAAGGAUUUUAUAAAUGAGUCGACACUCCGCAGUUGCGCUUUCUAUGUUAACACUAUAUAUUUGUUUUUGACAUUUUUUUCCUGUACUGUGUGUAUUUUCGUGCAUAUGUUCUUCCUAUUUGGUGAACACUGAAGUAUGUAACGAAAAAAAAAACACCCUUUUCACGAGACUUAUUUGACCUCCGCUGAAUUUUUGUAUCAUUCUUUAUCCUUAUUUGACGAUUUCCCCAUCAUCAGUUUUGUAUCACACCAUGCUGCAUGGUGACGGUAGAAGUCUCUCGCAUACCAGCCAAUUUUCUAUGUUAAUAGUUUGUCAGUUUUCUCGUCCCGGUUUUGUGAAUUUUUUUUCAAUAUGAAUUAGUCACUCGAGAACCCAAAUGUGAUUGUUCCUAUCACCUUCAAUGGGAGCUGAACAAAAGCCCUCAGCCUAACUCUCUAUGUAUAUCAUUUGAAAUACCAUAAUUUUGUUUUGUUUCGUUUUGUCCGUCAUUUUUUCAUAUUUUCAUUAUUAGUAUUGUGUUCAGAGAUUUUUUAUCAAGAAUUUAUUUUUUUUUACUGUUAUAAUCGUUGGAAUUAUAAUAAGUUUGACGUACCUAAUGAAAAUAUAAGCUAGAUAAUUUUUGAUCUUUUCGUUGCAUUUUAAUCAACAACUGACUUCUCUAUUUAAAGAGCUUGAAUUCCUCGUUGGAAACGCAGUAGAUAAUUUAGUGAAAAUUGAUUUGCUUACUUUAAAAAAAUAGGCCAAUUGGAAACAACGCUAUGUCCCAACUCAAAAACCACGCACCUCGAUUGCGAAUUAUCAGAAGUUUUGCCCACUUUUUAUUUUUUUAGAAGGAUACGAAAAUCAACUUAAUGGCUUGAAAUGAAUACGAAACAGAGAUAAGAAU
rnacentral:lncRNA from 1 species